rnacentral:rRNA from 1 species
UACGGGGGGGGCAAGCGUUGUUCGGAAUUACUGGGCGUAAAGGGCGCGUAGGCGGCUUAUCAAGUCAGGCGUGAAAUUCCCGGGCUCAACCUGGGGGCUGCGCUUGAUACUGAUUGGCUUGAAUGCGGGAGAGGAUAGUGGAAUUCCCAGUGUAGAGGUGAAAUUCGUAGAUAUUGGGAAGAACACCGGUGGCGAAGGCGGCUAUCUGGCCCGUAAUUGACGCUGAGGCGCGAAAGCGUGGGGAGCAAACAGG